rnacentral:rRNA from 1 species
AGUACGACCGCAAGGUUAAAACUCAAAUGAAUUGACGGGGACCCGCACAAGUAGUGGAGCAUGUGGUUUAAUUCGAAGAUACGCGCAGAACCUUACCAACACUUGACAUGUUCGUCGCGACUCUAAGAGAUUAGAGUUUUCGGUUCGGCCGGACGAAACACAGGUGCUGCAUGGCUGUCGUCAGCUCGUGUCGUGAGAUGUUGGGUUAAGUCCCGCAACGAGCGCAACCCUCACUUUUAGUUGCCAUCAUUAAGUUGGGCACUCUGAAAGAACUGCCAGUGAUAAGCUGGAGGAAGGUGGGGAUGACGUCAAGUCCUCAUGGCCCUUACGUGUUGGGCUACACACGUGCUACAAUGGUAUCUACAACAGGAAGCAAAACGGCAACGUUAAGCAAAUCCCGAAAAGAUACCUCAGUUCGGAUUGCACUCUGCAACUCGAGUGCAUGAAGCUGGAAUUACUAGUAAUCGUGGAUCAGCGUGCCACGGUGAAUGCGUUCCCGGGUCUUGUACACACCGCCCGUCACACCAUGGGAGUUGGUUCUACCUUAAGGCAAGGUUUUAAACCCUUGACCACGGUAUAGUCAGCGACUGGGGUGAAGUCGUAACAAGGUAACC